rnacentral:rRNA from 1 species
UACGGAGGGAGCUAGCGUUAUUCGGAAUUACUGGGCGUAAAGCGCACGUAGGCGGCUUUGUAAGUUAGAGGUGAAAGCCUGGAGCUCAACUCCAGAAUUGCCUUUAAGACUGCAUCGCUUGAAUCCAGGAGAGGUGAGUGGAAUUCCGAGUGUAGAGGUGAAAUUCGUAGAUAUUCGCAAGAACACCAGUGGCGAAGGCGGCUCACUGGCCCGGUACUGACGCUGAGGUGGCGAAAGCGUGGGGAGCAAACAGG